rnacentral:rRNA from 1 species
UGAGGAAUAUUGGGCAAUGGAGGCAACUCUGACCAGCCAUGCCGCGUGAGUGAAGAAGGUUUUCGGAUUGUAAAGCUCUUUCGGACAGGAAGAUAAUGACGGUACUGUCUAAAGAAGCCCCGGCUAACUUCGUGCCAGCAGCCGCGGUAAUACGAAGGGGGCGAGCGUUGUUCGGAAUUACUGGGCGUAAAGGGUGUGUAGGCGGCUUUGUAAGAUAGCGGUGAAAUACCUGGGCUUAACCUAGGAACUGCCGUUAUUACUAUAGAGCUAGAGUGAUAGAGAGGAUAUUGGAAUACCCAGUGUAGAGGUGAAAUUCGUAGAUAAUUGGGUAGAACAC